GCUGGGUGUGGUGGCGCACGCCUCUGAUCCCAGCGACUCAGGAGGCUAAGGCAGGAGGAUGGCAAAUUCAAGGCUAGUCUCAGCAACUUAGCAAGACCCUGUCUCAA
rnacentral:sRNA from 1 species